AACUCCUCAAGCCUGAGGGCAUGACAUUAGACAUUAUUACGAUUACUAAUUAUGAGUUAGCAAAAGUUUGCACCAUAAUUAUACACUAAUCUAAGUUAACCUAGCUUGCAUGUAUGUUAUAAUUAUUGUUACUACAUUUGCAUGAGCAAGGGAGAUAUUUGAACCACAUUAUACCUCCCAAACUUUUUGGUUACUAGGUAACAAACAGGUUAGCACAGCUGUAGAUACACUUGUACGAUUUCAGUGUUUUGGUGCCGUUACUCCGAAAUUAAUUUAUUUCCCACGAGGGACACGUGUAUGUUUCUCAAGUGUAGCAAGAGCCAUAUUUGAUAAAGCAGCGUUCUUUGCAGACCCAUGCAGACAUUGUUAUCAGAGGUAGGAGGAAAGUAUUCUAAAAAGGGAUGGUGACAACAACAAAAUACUACGUCAUGUACCUAGCACUAGUAUUCUCAAUGGUCGGGAUCUUGGCAUGGAUGGCCUUAAAGAGAUUGCUACCUAAAACCAAGGGGCCGAUAAAGGAAGAGACUAUUGUAGACCACAAAAGUCAAAGCAUGGUGUGAUGAUAUCACAUGACCCUCUUAACACUUAACGCUGACACAAACUCAAUAUGUCAUUAAUUUAUCAUAAAUUAUGUGUCACGAAUCAUGUACUAAGUAUAAGAGGAGAUAAUUACGACGCGAUUGAGUGUCUCAAUUACGCUAAAAGAAGAUCGAGGUAAUGUGCACUACACGUAAGUGAAUUAUUAUGAUAUGCUGAAUCAGCAGGCCCUAUAUAGUAGUAUUGAAAGUAUACUAAAGUGAAUCAGACGAUGUACUUUUCAAGCGAAUCUAAAGUUUAGUAGGUCAAAGGGUAUCCGUACAUGGAGAAGGCAGUACUACAGUAUACCAUGCACGUUGCCUGCAUGCUCAUAGCAACUAACUGUCAUUUCAUUACUACCUCAAUUUAUCCUAACUGAGGUAUCUGUGCCGUACCUCCUCUAGCACCAAGUGGAUCAUUUGAGUGAUACCAUACACAUGUAUAUGAAUAAAGUUGAAUUUCGUAUAAAUUAUGCAGAUCUGGAUGGAUAACAGGCAAUGAUUUAUUCAGAAACCUAACUUUUCACUGUAUUCUACACCAGCUAAUUAGGAGUUGAUCUACACACAUGACCAACAAGCUAGGUAUACUCACCUACUCAUGACAAUAGAGGGUGUGCCUGUCCAUAGACACUCACUGUACAGCUAGAGGGUUAGUUAGUUUGCUUCUCCUAAAGCCGCCCCUAAAACUGAAUGCUUAAGCAAACCACUUGUGGUUGAUGAUAGAUCCAUUUAAGGGUAUAAUUAUGGUCGCAAUAUUGAGGUCAUUGUGCUAGUAAGGUGCAGUGGCAAGGAGGGUCACAGUAAAAUGUUCGAAAUGAUAUACGUCUUUCAAAUCCAAAUUAAUGGCUUGUACGAUGAAGCAAUCAACUACGGAAAACAGCGCUAUUACAGUAACAUCUUAAAUUUACCAAUACGGGGAAUAUGCAUGCAUGGGCACCUUUAAAUUUGACAAAUAAUACGAAGGAUGUAACAAGUGAUCAACCCCAGAAGAUCCACACGAGGAAAAUGUACAUGGUUCAGUUCCUCCCCACACAC